rfam:Myotis davidii contig319475, whole genome shotgun sequence.
GGCAGUUCUCGAGUGAUGCACCCUGGAAUCGGGCUCCCCUCUCUCUGGUUCUGGGUACAUCACCAGAGAACCACA